rnacentral:SRP_RNA from 1 species
GCCAGGUGUGGUGGUGCAUGCCUGUAGUCCCAGCUACUUGGGAGGCUGAGGCAGGAGAAUCGCUUGAGCCUGGGAGGUGGAUGUUACAGUGAGCCAAGAUUGUGUCACUGUACUCCAGCCUGGGCAACAGAGUGAGACCCUGUCUCAA